rnacentral:sRNA from 1 species
UGUCAUCGGCAAACCGAAGAUGAGUGA